GCAAGAUGCCCUGACCCCCAGGCUCCCUCUUGGAGAGGAAGAGGGUGGCUGUAUUUUACUAGCUGCCUCCCUCCACAACUCACACCCUCCCAGCCGCCGGGGAGGAUCACGGCUGCCCUCUUAGAGGGAGCGCCAGGAAGGCGUUGACUGGCAGCCCGGACGCCUGGGUUCCCUAGGCGAGAAAGCAGGGCUUAAGAAUCCACAGCCCAGGGGAGGGGAGAGGGAACCAGAUACUCUUGUGCAAAGGUUUUAUUCCUGGAUCUGGGAUAGGGGGGGAAACCUGCAAUGAGCAAUGGACGGAGAAGAUCAGGAAAACUGGGAAAAUCCUUUGGGAAUGUGUGAUUUUGGAGUUUGAUGUGCCUUCAUAAGUCAUGGGGUAUGGGGAAGACAGUCUGUUGAAGUCCAUCUGGGUCAAAGCCAUCCAUCCAGCCACCCAUCUAUCUAAGUACAUCAGAACAGACCCGCUGGAUCAGGCCUAGUCCGGCCUGCUGAUCUCGCAGCAGUUUGCUGUCUCUGACUGUGACAGCAGAACAUAACUGUCAUGGCUAGUAGCUCUUGAUAGCUCUCUCCUCCAUGUGUCCAAGGACCCCUGACUAUUAGGUCCAGUCGUGACCGACUCUGGGGUUGCAGCGCUCAUCUCGCUUUACAGGCCAAGGGAGCCGGCGUCCAGCUUCCAGGUCAUGUGGCCAGCAUGACUAAGCCGCUUCUGGCAAACCAGAGCAGCGCACGGAAACGCUGUUUACCUUCCUGCCUGAGCGGUACCUAUUUAUCUACUUGCACUGGUGUGCUUUCGAACUGCUAGGUUGGCAGGAGCAGGGACCGAGCAACGGGAGCUCACUCAGUCGCGGGGAUCCGAACCGCCGACCUUCUGAUCGGCAAGCCCUAGGCUCUGUGGUUUAACCCACAGCACCACCCGCGUCCCACAUCCCAUGUGUCCAAACACACCGGGAAUCCUGUGUCCGGUUCUGGGCACCACAAUUUAAGACGGGUAUUGAGAAGCUGGAAGGUGCGCAGAGGAGGCGGCCGUGAUGGUCCAAGGCCUGGAAACCAAGCCUGAUGAGGAACGGUUGAGGGAGCUGGGUAUGCUUAGUCUGGGGAAAAGGAGACUGAGAGAGGAGAUCAAACAUCUUAAAGGAUGUCCCGUGGAAGCUUGUUUUCUCCUGCUCCGGAGGGUAGGACUCGAACCCACAGCUUCAUGUUACAAUAAAGGAGAUUCCGACAAACCAUCAGGGAGACCUUUCUGACAGUAAGAGCUGUUUGACCGUGGAACGGACUGCCUUGUGACGUGGUGGGUUCUCCUUCCUUGGAGGCUUUUAAGCAGAAGUUGGAUGGCCAUCUGUCAGGGAUUAUUUAGCUAUGAUGCUGGACUAGAUGGCUUUUGGGAGUCCCUGUUCUAUGACUCUAAAUUAGCAGCAUCCCAUGUAUCAGGGAGGAGACGUCAGGGGGCUAAACCAUGAAGUUUGGGGAAUUUGAGAGAGAGAGAAAACUCUACAGGAUGGGGGGAAACACAGUGUGCCUUGACCAUUCUCAGCAGCCACAGAAAACUGUCUGCUUGGGGAGGGGUGUGGCAGGGUGCGCGGAAUAGAGUAUCCUGGAAAAGGGAAACAACUCCACGCCGGAGCAUUUUUUAUCCUGAUGCCCCCAAGUUAAGGGGGCAUAUGGGGGGGGGAACCACCAUUGUAGGUAUUUGAACAGAAAUCUCACAUUGUUUUAUUUACAGCAUCCGUUCGUCGCUUUCCUGCAAAUGUCGCCAAAGGGAAGCACAGAAAGUACCAACAAAAUUAAACAUUUACAGUGUUAAAGAGUCAACUUUUGUUGUUGUUUUAGAAUGAGCCAGAAAUACGCAGCGGCGGAACCAUUGUUCGUAAGAAAGAAAGAGAAAGGAAAGCAUUAAAACUCAGGCUCCGUUGGAAAGCAAACCAAGAGAGCAGCGAUCAGUUGAAAAACCAAUCGAUCGAUCAAAGGCAAGGUCUUACGAAAAGUAAGAUCAGGAGAAGAUCUUUUAACCUUGUGUUGCUGUGGGGCACACCUGGUGCGCACCAGCCUGUUUUGGACUUGUUAAGUACUGAGUUGAAUAGGAUCCAAAUUGCAGCAGUCUGAUUGGUCCUAGAACAAUAGGAUCCAGAAUGCAGCAGUCUGAUUGGUCCGCAGGAGCCACCCAAUCCAACUCCAGGUGGAAGUGAAUCCGCAACCUGAUUGGCCUACAGGAGAAUCCCAGAAUUAGCCAAUCACGUGGGGCCCAUUGUGUAAAUAAUGUAUAUAAAGCAGACAUUUCGGGGAACUUCCAUUCCUACUAUGAGCUGAAUAAAGAGCAUGAAAUCCACUCUCGACUCCGAGUGUAUUUCAGGACUACAACUCCCCUCAGGCCCAGCCAUCAUGGCCGUUUAAACUAUGUUUUAACGAUGUUUUAUGGAAAGC